rnacentral:rRNA from 1 species
GGUUGAUCCUGCCAGUAUUAUAUGCUGAUGUUAAAGAUUAAGCCAUGCAUGUGUAAGUUUAAAGACCAAGUAGGAUGAAACUGCGGACGGCUCAUUAUAACAGUAAUAGUUUCUUUGGUUAGUAGUUAAAAGGAUAACUUUGUGAAUGAUAAAGCUAAUACUUGAGACGAUCCGGGGAGUAUUUAUACUUUCUGGCCGUUGGCCGCGAGGUCGACGAGGAGUGACAUUCUUUUGUGAGAAAGGAUGCCAUGACAAUUGAAGAAAGCGACGCUUUUCACAAGUAACCAAUGAGA